rnacentral:tRNA from 1 species
GUCAGUGUGGCUCAGUAGAAAGAGCAUGGGCUUGGGACUCAGAGGUCAUGGGUUUGAAUCCCGGCUCUGUCA